rnacentral:rRNA from 1 species
UACGUAGUCUGCUGCAUGCAGGAAGACCCGU